UGUCCAAUUAAGAACCUUCCUUACAGGAUUUUCCUACAAGAUCUGUAACAGCUUUGAAACUGUACUAGGUUUUGGCAUUUCCACUUCCCUGCAUCCUUAAGAGAUAGGGCUUGUAACUGGGAACUCUUACCCGUCCUAAAUCCUGGGAAUAGUCCUGAUUUUCACCUCUUGUCUCACCUACAGAAACAGAAAGCCCAGGAGGUGUUCGAUUUGUGUGGUCCUAAGGGUCUUCCCACGGCGGGUACUCUCACACAAGGUCGUGAGGUGCUUGCCUUGCUCUAAAAACCUCGUGUCUGGUUUUGGUCAGGACCUGAAGGGACUUAACCUCUGUGGUGGAGGGUGGGAUUCAUCUAUGCAGCUUGUUGGCUUCUUCAGUAAGGCUGCUAACUAGGAGCUCAGCCCUGUGCUUUAGGGAGAAAAGCGUCGAGUGAAAUGCUUCUCUGCUCCCUCAGGCUGUAGGCGUGCUGUCUGGACGGGCGGUUGUGGUGUUGGUCCGUGCAAGGGCAUAGAGACAGAUAAAAGUCAUGGAGCUCGCGAAGCGCUUUGCAGGUGUGAGGUACUGCUGGUAAGAGCCAGCCGGUCACUGGGCCGGCAGGGCUGCCUGCAAGCCCCGCGGCCUGCAGCGCGGCUCAGCCCCGUCCUCCGCGGCUCGCACAGCCUUUCGCUCCUGCCGGCGUGCUCGGAGGGGCAGGGACAGACCUGCACCCCGCGUCACGGGCAGGUACCAGGCGUGCUUUGAGAGCAGAGAGGCGUCGUUGCAGGCCAGCCCGGACCCUGCACAGGCCUCGGCCAUGUGGCACCGUUUCCGAGGCAGGCUCGUCCGGACAGAAGCGAGCGAGGAAACCUUGGAUCGCUCCUCCCUGGGUCUCCUCGCCGCAGGUGCCGUUAGGAUCCGGACUGUAGAGGCCACGCUGCCGCCGAGCCGCCGUCCCCAAGGCCUCCCCGCCUGCUCCGGGUUCCUCUCCCCCUCCCCGCGGGUGUUAUUUACACCGUUUCCUGCCCAGGGAAGUUCAGGAGUUUGACGUUACCGGGUUGGUUUCCGCUCUCCUGCCUGGCUCCCAUCAGGAGCUCUCGCAGAGCCCGAGCCCUGCGGUGCCAGCGGUGGCCGGGUAGGAGCCUGCCCGUGCCAGCGGGCAGAUGGAGGUGCCAGCCAGGCCCAGGGAAGGAAGCGUAACCCCUGUCAGGCCGGACGACUCAAGCUCAACCGGCCUGGGAGGGCUGGAAAAGCCGACCCCGUGUCCAUCCCUCCGCAUCGGUCCUGCCGCGGGGCUGGACGGGGCAGCUCAGCCCCGGCGGGAGGAAGGGAGGACGCGCCCGGGCAUCGCUGCAGAGCUUUUGGGUUCCUGCCGAAUCGACGCCCUCCCCUCUCCCUCCCUCUCCCCCCCCCAUCCUUCCCGUGUGCUCCCGCCUGGCCUGCGUCUCUCCUCCCUUCCCUUCUCCCUCCCAUCCCGCAGCAAACAAAAUGGCUGCUGCAUGGCCAUUUUGUUUUCCGUCUGGAAGGGGGAAGCCAGGACGCUGGGACUUGGCUCUUUUUUGGAGGCUGCGGCCAUGUUCGAGCCCAACUCUCCCGUCUCUACGUGGCACCGGCUGUAGCAAGAGAGAGAGAAAAAAAAAAAAAGAAGAAAAAAAAAAAAAAGGACCUUUUGGAACGAGACCAAAGUCAGAGGCAGAGAGUGGGUAGUUUUGGCGUAUGUUGAGCACUGAAAAUGCCUGGAAUUGCCAAACUGAGCUUUUGUAUUAGCAGCGUAAGGCUACUCGGUGCAUGCAGAGUCGCGGGGCUGCACGGUAUAGCUGGACGGAAAGUGAUUCUGCGUUUCCUUCAGUAGCCUGGAUGUCUUGGAGUUAGUAGUCACGUCUCUUCGUUCACGGACGCUCGGAGGAGCAGAUCUCUGUCCAGUUGCAUGGGGGGGUGGAUCGGGAUCUGAUAAGGCAUCGGUGUUGGGGUGAUCGUCCUACCUUUCCUUGAAGGACUGCCCGGACAUCUGGAGAGAAGCAGACACUUUCAGAGAGGAGCUGGGAAGGAGAGCAGAAAGAGGUGAAAUCGCUUUUCUUGCACAGAAAGGAGGCACAGAGCAGCUGAUGCCGGGAUGAGGAUCAUCUCAUUGCCUUAGACUGCCAUGGUCGCAAGCUGUCCUUGAGGCUGAGGCAGGUAGCACUGUCAUCUGACAACAGACAUAUGAGAAGACAGCAUGCUUCAGAGCUCUGGCACUCGGCAAGGGACAGGGAAUCGUUGUUUCUUCUCUUUCUUAGGAGCAGAUGGGACUAUAUCUCUGCCAUAUUCCAAAGUAAGUAGGAUCAAGAACGUGAGUGGAGCUGUAACACAAUCAGGGCUGCAUCAGGUCUUCAAGACUGAAGGACAUCUCAGGCCAUUAUCACUGCCAUCUCACUGUCAGGGAAACGCGUGAGAUCCGAGACAUCAGGGAGCAAGGGCAAGCAGAGGACACCUUCUCAGAUGAAUUGGGAGGAAGAGAGCUGCAAAAAGAAACUGGACCCCUCAGAUUUCACCCUGAGCAAACACACAGGGAGACCCAGACCUGAUUGCUUGGGCCAUGGGACUCCUCAAAAUGAAGCAGCUUGUUUAAGGCUCCUCUGCUUCUCGGGAUGGGGUGUAGCUGCAGCAAGGCUGGGACGUGACUUCCUCAGGCUGGGCAACAGCUGGUGGGUGGGGAUGCCGCAGUGUCUAGUGGGCGAAGGAAUGCAAUCUUCUCUCCAUAAAUCUGGCUCUUCAGCAGUCCUGGCGACUUGCUGUGCAAAACUACAGCUUGGUCCUCUUAGAUGCAUUAUUAUCCUCUAGCUGCUUGCUGAGGGGCAGGGCUCCUACCCGCAAAUUGCUUGGAAGGUACCAAAAUAGCACCAUGAGCAUGGGAACAGAGUGGCACAUCCACUUCAUAUUUAAGAGGUAUCCCCUAGAAAAGAACUAAUCCUGUGUGUCCCAAAUGAAAUCAGUUCAGUCCCCCUCCAUUGCAUUGAUGUUAAUGCAGAGAAUCUCAAGCAGUGAAACUCUGUGAGCUGGAAGCCAUGAAUAAAAUAUUACUGGAGAUAUUCUCUUGUGAAAAUAAACUUGUUUUGACUUUUUUAAAA